CCCGCCCGAGUGCCCAGAUACAGACAGCCUUGAGGUGGACAAACCCUUCUCCAACGCCACCUGUGGGAAAGUGCGGGCAUCGGGGGAGGGUGCAGCUUGCCCAGCUGCAGGGUUGGAGAGAAGAGACAACCUCGUGGGGCUGUGGGGCUGUGCAGCGGAGCACCAGGAGGCACGGAGCCGCACGAGGGGAAGGCGAUACUGUGAGGGGGCCGGAACAAUUCUCCCUGACGGGUGUUUAGCGGGGAGGGCCGGGCUGGGGCUGCACUGGGAACUCACACUGCUGGCGAUGCAUGCGGGUGACAGGCUGGAAGAUGCAAGCAAACACCAGACGAUCGUGCAUUUCCAGAGACUUACUCCGGACAGUGCAUGCAAACAGGAGCCACACGACGUGUGACCAUCACUCUCUGGCUUCUCCAUAGCCCACGUUCUCCAGGCUCGUCCAUGCGGGAGGGUGGCUGAUGCUUCCGUCCUUUUCAUGGCUGCGAGGUCUCCCCUAGGUGGACGUCCAUUCAUCGGUCGAUGGACAUAGGCUGCUGUCAAAGGGGAAAGCGGUUGACUGCUGGUCUCUGUGGCCUUCACCAAGACACUUGACCUGGUCUCUAGAUCCAGCUGGAAAGCUCAGAGAUGAAUGGGAUCCAACAGAAAAACGCUGUAGGGUCUUCCCAGGGUGGCAGUCAGGACAAACCCGUAGUCCCGGGGGAACAGGGAGAGGAGGUGCAAACUCAGAAUGUGGUUCAGUGGCCCCUUGCAGGAACAGGCAGAGAGGAUCCUAAAAUGGGAAAUGAGAGGCUGGAAGAGGGAAGGUAAGGACCUGCUUCAGAAGAUCCUGUGUCAGGACACAAAUGGUGUCUGCAGUUUAAAAGGAGGUGCUCUCCCUGCCCAGUGCUGUCACCCAAGUCCCACAUCCAAACUUCCUGUUUGAACCCCUAACCUGCAACAUGAUGGCACAUGCGGGUCAGGCCGGUGAAUGAGACGAACGCCCUUAUCAGAGAUCCCAAAGAGCCCAUUUUACCGUUCUUCCAUGCAGAGGUCACAGGAAGGCACCAUCCCUGCACCAGACAGCCAGCCCUGUCAGACACCGACUCUGCUGGAGUCUGAUUUCACAGUCUCCAGGACUGUGGGAAAACAUUUCCGUUGUUUACAAACUGCAGUUCGCGGCAUUUUGUUACAGCGGCUCAACACGGGUGCCAGGCGCCAUGGAGCUCUUCACAGACCCGGAUGGAACCUGAGGGAGAACUGGGCCUGAGCAGCGGGGGGGCGAAGUGGAGGCACGGGGAGGUAGAGACUUGCCUGAGGUAGCAGAGUCUGGCUGUGACCUUCCAAAGGACUUGAAGGUUCUCUCUGAGAUGCCCAGGCUGGGC